GGACCAUCUACCUUUGUUAUGUUAUAUGCCCUUGGGGUCAGGCACUUUAGCCACGCUAGCACAAUGGAGAGCUACUGGAGAGAACUGAUUUGGGAAGUGACGUAGUCAGACCUGCACUUCAGGAAAAUCAUUUUGACAGCCAAGUGAAGGUUGGAUUGGAAUGAGGAAAGAGUCAAGUAUGAGAAGAAUGCUGUACACAGAGUUUACAUCAAUUUUAGAAAAGCCUUUGACAAAGUAUCUCAUACUAUUGUCACAAAGAUGAUGGAGACGUGUGAACCAGAAAAGAAUACAAUUACUUGGAUUUAU